rnacentral:misc_RNA from 1 species
UACUAAAGAGAUUAUUAUUAUUAUCAUGAUUAUCAUUGAGAAUUAAUAAAAGUUUUGAGAAUUGUUUAUAUUGAUUCUUGUUUUUCUUUUUCUACAUCAGGAGGGAAUUUCAUUUAUAAGAUAAUUUCUAUAAAAGAAAAAGGAGUUGGAUCCUUGAACAAUUUUCUCCUUUGGGAAAGGGGGUGGCGAGGUUGUCAUGACAUGAUGUCUCAAUUGCUUACCAUUAUUUUGAACCAUGAUUUCUUUCACAUAUGGUUUGAUGUUUGUGCCAUUAAAUGGCACUACAACAAAGAAAGGACAUUUCUAAUUACAUUAUUCACUACAACAAAUGACAAAGCUUGCUUUUGAUGUUGCGUCAGAAACCACUGAACGUAUUACAUAGAAAUGCAGUAGUGUCAAAUCUAUAAGAAAAAACCAAUCACGGAAGCAACAAGGCACGGAUUUUCAAAAUCUAUGUGAAUAGCUCUGGUGCAAUUUCACAGAAAAGGUUUUAAAUUGCUAGUAGUAACGCAUACGUGAAGAAUUAUAUCACAUGAAAAAGAGAAAGAAAUUCUAACCAAAUUGCAUGUCUUCAAGUCCCUUAUAAUACUUAUUGCCAAAUUUUUCCACCUCCACAAGCGUUGCCCCUAUGUUGUGAAUUUUGGUUUGCCUAAAUCACUUAAACAAAUUUUGAAGAAACUAGUGAUAAUUCACUAAAACCCAAAAACAAAAACAAGAAGAAAUAUGUUAGCAAUAAAGGCUUAUGAAAGAUUCAAAUAAUAACAUAAGUUGAGAGGAAAAAAAUCAACCAAAGACAACAAUGUACAGAAGGCUCGCUCAAUCUUCAUAUAAGGUGUUGAAAUAAUAAAUGGAAGUAGCACGAAAGAAAUAACGAAAUUCAAAUUGUAUUGCCACAAAAUAUGUGUAAAAGAAGGUACUUAAGCCUAUCUAGUAGGAUACACCAACUUCCAUUCCAAUGCCAAAACCCCUAAUUAGAAGACUAAUUUAUAGAGCUUCAAUGCUUUAUUGAAAGUGCAUUCAGAAGAGCACUGUUUCAUCAAACUGAACAAACUUAAGCAAACUUCUUUUCAACAAUCUCCAACAAACAAAAUUGUAACAAGCAUCAACUAAGAGAUCUUAACUUACAACAAAUUUCCAUCCAAAAGGCAAUUCCUGAAAAAUAUUCAACAAAAUUGAAAGGAAGAAAAAUGCAUAAUAAGUCAAUAAAGCUCAAAAAAUAAAAUAAACUAACAAUGAGAAUAAAAUGUCACUGAAGUGAUAGACAAAAUAGCAUAUAUAUCCUUAAGUUUGGUGUCAAAACAAUGAUCAUCAAUUGGAAGACUAGAUUUCAAUUGAACCACUGUUUUUAUAUGCCUGGGCAAGUUAAAAUAUACAAAGUUUUCUGCAAAGAAGUUAUGGAUGGUAUGUUCCUUGUUCCAGCUAGAUUUUUUUUUUUUUUCAACAUAAUAACGAGUAAAGGCCCAUCUCACCAAUUCAUCAUCAUUUAGGCUUAAUAGUACAAAUAUAUGGUUCUGUCGGCCUUGAUGUACAUAUUGCAUAAUUAUUGCAUGGAAGAUCUAUAUACAAUGACUUUAAAUGGACAUUUAACAUUCCACAUAAUAACAUCAUCUCAGGAAAAAAAAAUGCAUACCAUGAUAAGAGUAAAACAUCUCAUGUGGAUGCUCUAAAACAAAGAAAAGGUACAAAGUUCAAAAAAAAAAAAAGGUAAUAAGCAAAAACCUGGGUAUCUAGAAGUAUAAGCCG